UGCGUAGGUGGUUGGUUAAGUUUGAGGUGAAAGCUCCGAGCUCAACUCGGAAAAUGCCUUGAAGACUAUCUGACUAGAGGAUUGGAGGGGAGAUUGGGAAUUCUCGGUGUAGCAGUGAAAUGCGUAGAUAUCGAGAGGAACACCAGUGGCGAAGGCGAAUCUCUGGACAAUUCCUGACACUGAGGCACGAAAGCCAAGGGAGCAAACG
rnacentral:rRNA from 1 species